GAUGAAGAACGCAGCGAAAUGCGAUAAGUAAUGUGAAUUGCAGAAUUCAGUGAAUCAUCGAAUCUUUGAACGCACAUUGCGCCCGCCAGCAUUCUGGCGGGCAUGCCUGUUCGAGCGUCAUUUCAACCCUCAAGCUCUGCUUGGUGUUGGGGCCCUACGGUUGACGUAGGCCCUUAAAGGUAGUGGCGGACCCUCUCGGAGCCUCCUUUGCGUAGUAACUAACGUCUCGCAUUGGGAUUCGGAGGGACUCUUGCCGUAAAACCCCCAAAUUUUCUAAUGGUUGACCUCGGAUCAGGUAGGAAUACCCGCUGAACUUAAGCAUAUCAAUAAGCGAGGA
rnacentral:misc_RNA from 1 species